GUGGUUGACGCCUUUUAUAAAACAAAUUAUUAAUGUUCCCCCCUACACUCUGGCAUGCAGUCAGGAUGCCCUGACCUACUCCCCAAGACCCCCACACUCAAUGAUGUCACCAGUAAUUCUGGUGAAACAACCCUCCAACUCCUCGUUGGGAAGCUCAGGGCUCACUACCACGGCUCCUCCCAUCAGGUCAGUGGGAAAGGAGGAGCACAAGGCAGCCAGCACAGAGCAGGACGCUAGCACCCCCAAGAGGUGUUGAAGCACUGACAUCAGUGUCAUCAGUUGACGAGUGUUUCUGUGGAGAUAAUGUCAUCUCACUUAGUGGCAUACUUCCUCAGACAUGCAGCUGUUAUAUGCUGCCCACGGUAGUGUUGGACCAGGCAUCCAGUAGGGCGCUCCACCGCCCUCUCCGCGUGGCUCAAACCCAGGCAGUGCAUACACGAGGUAUGCGGCUCUCCAGGGGGGUGCCACCAUCACACCUGUCAAAAAGGGAAGCCAUAAGCUCAGCCAAGCCAGCAAGGCCACGGAGCUGGGUUCCGACGCCCUGGGAGAGUUCAAACCAUACGGACGUCCACCGAGAAAAUGAAAGACAAUGUGUGUCGCGGCCAUGGGGUCUAUAUAUAGGGGCGGACACCAGCCGUGACAUAGAUGUACACGGGAGUAAAUCUGUAAAUUCUCACCUUGGAUGUAUCCCUCCGCCGCGGAGUGAUGCCAAUAUAGGGAAACAUUACAACAUUUGCCUAGAAGAAGCAAUCUCUUUUAUAGAAGUGUGUGCUGUCUCUAAGACCCAUGACAUCAUUCACACACAGUCAAUUCAAGGCUCGAGCAAAGAUGAUAUUGACUGGGAGAGAAGUGAGGUGGGGGAGACUAAGUGACUAAAUUUUUGGUGACAAUCAGCUUUGUAAUCAGCAAUAUUUUUGCGUUAUGGUUUGUAAGUGUAACAGUGUAAUUACAUUUUAAAUUCCUGCAUAAAAUGGGUAUUAUGCCAACUCCUGGUAGAUUAGUGUGUUUACAUUGUCUAAUACACUCAGUGAUAAAAUUAUGGGAUUCUGGGUAAUCCACAGCAGAUUUAUGCAGAAUUGCUAUGGUUGAGUUGAAAAUUGAAUGGUCCCGGGAGAGAAAUUUGUAAAAUCCACCUUUUACAUUGUACAUUAGAAAUGUAUGUUAUUAGUAACUACUGUUGUUGUUUUGGCUUCAAAUAAACCACUCUGUUAUUUGCCGAAUCUCAGUUUUCCUUGUGGGUUUUAUGCUAGCUAAAAUUCCCUCUUUGAAAUUGGUAGCUAACUCGAAAAUGCAUCUUCUUUAGGAGUGCUAUUUAUAUCCCAUCGACUAAUGAUCAUUCAUCCAUACUGUGUGUCCCAUCAUUGCAGGUCAUUUAUGACAAAUGUAUAUGUUUUAUAAACUCAUAAGCACCAGCCAGCGUAUUAGCCUGGUUUUGUUAGUUGAGGCAAAUAUGUAUCACAUUCUAGGUGUAUUAUAUUUCUUUGCCACAAGUGUGACAUUGAGUAAUUUCAAGUUAUUUUUUUAUAUAUUUUGAAUAGUAAAAUGGAUGAUGCUGUAAAUAUGAGAUUACACAUGGAAACAAUGUAUUUAUUUUUAUUAUAGGAAUUAUUAGAAAUGGUUAAAUCCACUAUAUGAUCACGAUGACCUUGAUAGACAUUUUGAUCGUUUUUUUGUUAGUAUAUUAUACAGCAGAUUUAUGGAGAAUUGCUGGGGGAGUGCUAUUAUUAUCCUGUCGACUAAUGAUCGUUCAUCCAUACUGUGUGUGUCCCAUCAUUACAGCUUUGGAAAUAAAUAUACUAUCCAUCCA